rnacentral:lncRNA from 1 species
ACCAAAAGAAAUAUCGUCAUAUUAAUCUGCGUUCUGAGUUUCAGAGAACACACACACACACACACACGCACACACAUUAUUGGUGUAUGGCAUUGCAAACAUGAGAAUAAUAUUCCUUAAAACACUGCCUAUUUUUGAUCUUCAAGACGCCUACAUUUCACAAGAAUUUAAUACCAAGCAGGGUACGCAUAUGGUAUAACCACAUUUAAAGAAGACAACCCGAAAAAAAAUAAUUGAUGACUGGACAAUCAACAUCAUCGCCACCGAUACUAAUGAUUGGUGAAAGACACAGAGCAACAAGAUAAGAAUUGCGUACCACUACACAGUACUUCGCUGAAACGAAUGCCUUGCUCUAUAUUUCCCGCAUUCUCUGCACACAGAAGUUCAUUCACCGGCAUGAUAACCCUAAUAACAAUGGUUUCAAAUUUUGGCACAAGGCGAGCAAUUUCGGGGAAGGGUAA